rnacentral:rRNA from 1 species
GCAGCAUGGGUGCUUGCACCUGAUGGCGAGUGGCGAACGGGUGAGUAAUACAUCGGAACGUACCCGGAAGUGGGGGAUAACGUAGCGAAAGUUACGCUAAUACCGCAUAUUCUGUGAGCAGGAAAGAGGGGGAUCGCAAGACCUCUCGCUUUCGGAGCGGCCGAUGUCAGAUUAGCUAGUUGGUAGGGUAAAAGCCUACCCAGGCGACCAUCUGUAGCGGGUCUGAGAGGAUGAUCCGCCCCACUGGGACUGAGACACGGCCCCAGACUCCCUACGGGAGGCAGCAGUGGGGAAUUUUGGACAAUGGGGGCAACCCUGAUCCAGCCAUGCCGCGUGAGUGAAGAAGGCCUUCGGGUUGUAAAGCUCUUUCGGCCGGGAAGAAAUCGCACAGGUUAAUACCUUGUGUGGAUGACGGUACCGGAAUAAGAAGCACCGGCUAACUACGUGCCAGCAGCCGCGGUAAUACGUAGGGUGCGAGCGUUAAUCGGAAUUACUGGGCGUAAAGCGUGCGCAGGCGGUUUCGUAAGACAGAUGUGAAAUUCUCUCGGGCUCAAUCCUGGGAACUGUAUUUGUGACUGCGAGGCUAGAGUAUGGGCAGAGGGGGGUGGAAUUUCACGUGUAGCAGUGAAAUGCGUAGAGA